rnacentral:lncRNA from 7 species
GCUGCUGGUCUGUUUUCAUGUUGUACAGCUGCUAACAUGUGGAAGAGAUGGGAGCCAUGACUCCUGAUCUUGCUUUUAGUUAGCAGAGCAGAUUCUCCUAGAGUUUGAAAUUACCAUGAUAAAUUUGAAAGGAAGCCUGAGAUAGUUUUAGAAGCACAACUGUAAUAGCAACUGAAUUGAUGGAAAUAUAAGUGGUGCAGCAAAGGACGAGUCAAAUCACAACUGAAAGAACAACCAAGAAUAAACGUUCGCAGGAAACAAUGCAUAUAAACAUGCAUUUGAAGAUGUUUGGAGAUGAAGUUCCGGGGAAAUAAAAUGGAACAGGUACUGCUUUUAUAUACCAUAGGCUUCCCACAGAUCUACAAGGCUGAGAUCAGCAAACAACUUUCUUUUUCUGUAUAAAUGCUGUUAUGCAAGACUCCUGAAGCUGCUGUGCCAACAGAAGUGUAAGAUAAUGGAGGAAGGAGAGUAAGAAAGGGAGGAGGGGAGGAAAGGUGGGAGGAAAAGCUCAAGUGUCCUUGCGUGCUGAGAGGGGUGCAAGAAGAAGCUCUGUUCGUCUCACUGCACUUCAGGACUGUCAAGCGCUGUGACCCAUUUUCCCUUCUGGCAGCUCCUACACAAGGGCUGCUUUGAAAUAACCGCUUAGCUUAUACCUUCGCUUCUCAUUUCUGAGGCCAUGUGAAGAGCUUGCCAGCAGUGCUGAGAGUCCUCUGCUGAAGGACACUGUCAAGAUGUAACUAUUGUUUCAAAGAAGUUACAAGUAUCCUGGAGGUGGACUUGCAUUAGCUCCGACGACACAGUUGGGCUGUGACAAUAGGUUUUGUAUAUUUCUUAUUUGCUUUUCUUGGGAGUUGGAGUGGCAUUAGGAAAACACAUUUUAAUAUCAGGCUGUAGGAGGUGAGACAGAGCUCACUGUCUCUCUGAUAGCAGCAUUUAAAGCACAAGAAGCCAAAUUCAGCCCUGAACUUUUCUUCUGGAGUGUCUUAUCUUUUUAAGAAAGAAGGAUGCCAGUUCCUGGAAAAAGAGAAGGACAAAGCAAGAUGCGGAGAGCUGAAAACGCUGUUACAGUGCAGCCUAGGAUAAGCACAGUAUAUUAAAUUCUGGACAGCUGAGGACAAUCUCUCUUAUUAAGAGCAGAGUGUUCCCUGGUCCCUUUGUAUUAGAAAUUGUAACUACUUGAUGUUCUUACACCUUGUCUAAUUCCUCAUGACUCCUUCAGAAUUGAUGUAGCUCAACAUCUUUGUCAUCCAAAUAGAUUCCCAGAAAAUCGGAUCCUGAUUACUAAUAACUUAAAUAUACUAAAUUAAUAC